rnacentral:rRNA from 1 species
AGCGAACGCUGGCGGCAGGCUUAACACAUGCAAGUCGAGCGCCCCGCAAGGGGAGCGGCAGACGGGUGAGUAACACGUGGGAACGUGCCUUUUGGUUCGGAACAACUCAGGGAAACUUGGGCUAAUACCGGAUAAGUCCUUACGGGGAAAGAUUUAUCGCCAAAAGAUCGGCCCGCGUCUGACUAGCUAGUUGGUGGGGUAAUGGCCCACCAAGGCUACGAUCAGUAGCUGGUCUGAGAGGAUGAUCAGCCACAUUGGGACUGAGCCACGGCCCAAACUCCUACGGGAGGCAGCAGUGGAGAAUAUUGGACAAUGGGGGCAACCCUGAUCCAGCCAUGCCGCGUGAGUGAUGAAGGCCUUAGGGUUGUAAAGCUCUUUUAGCAGGGAAGAUAAUGACGGUACCUGCAGAAAAAGCCCCGGCUAACUUCGUGCCAGCCGCCGCUGUAA